rnacentral:tRNA from 1 species
GGAAAGGUGUCUGAGUUGGUUUAAGGUGCCAGUCUCGAAAAUUGGUGUAGGUGAAUAAUCUACCGUGGGUUCGAAUCCCACCCUUUCCGCCA